rnacentral:rRNA from 1 species
GACGAACGCUGGCGGCGUGCUUAACACAUGCAAGUCGAACGGAAAGGCCCUGCUUUUGUGGGGUGCUCGAGUGGCGAACGGGUGAGUAACACGUGAGUAACCUGCCCUUGACUUUGGGAUAACUUCAGGAAACUGGGGCUAAUACCGGAUAGGAGCUCCUGCUGCAUGGUGGGGGUUGGAAAGUUUCGGCGGUUGGGAUGGACUCGCGGCUUAUCAGCUUGUUGGUGGGGUAGCGGCUUACCAAGGCUUUGACGGGUAGCCGGCCUGAGAGGGUGACCGGCCACAUUGGGACUGAGAUACGGCCCAGACUCCUACGGGAGGCAGCAGUGGGGAAUAUUGCACAAUGGGCGGAAGCCUGAUGCAGCAACGCCGCGUGCGGGAUGACGGCCUUCGGGUUGUAAACCGCUUUCGCCUGUGACGAAGCGUGAGUGACGGUAAUGGGUAAAGAAGCACCGGCUAACUACGUG